rnacentral:rRNA from 1 species
UGCGCAGGCGGUUGUACAAGACGGAUGUGAAAUCCCCGGGCUCAACCUGGGAAUGGCAUUCGUGACUGUACGGCUAGAGUGUGUCAGAGGGGGGUAGAAUUCCACGUGUAGCAGUGAAAUGCGUAGAUAUGUGGAGGAAUACCGAUGGCGAAGGCAGCCCCCUGGGAUAACACUGACGCUCAUGCACGAAAGCGUGGGGAGCAAACAG